rnacentral:piRNA from 1 species
CGGCUAAGCACUGCAAUGGAA